UGGGCUUCCUGCUGCCUUCCGCCGACACACUCGAAACCCGGGUCUCCCUACUGCAGGCACAGAGUCUGCCGCACAGAUGUAGAACCAGGGCAUGUGCUCUUCUCUAAGAGGGCGCGACUGCAGAAGUAUCUCCUCCGUGGGACUUCUAAGGUGACUCUUUACCUUAGUGACAGUAAGUUAGCAGCAGCAGGUUGAAGGAUGGAGCAAUGGUCUAUACACUCUGACGUCAUAAGCCGGGUGCGGCUGCAGGGCACCUGACCUGUCUCAUCUCACUUUGUUCUCACAAUAAUCCUGCAAGGUAGACAUUCCUGCACCUGGUUUACAAAUGGAAAUGUGAAGAGCCCAAGGAGAUGAGGCAGCUUGCCCAAGGCGGCAUGUUAGUCAGUUAUGAGCCAUCCUUCAAACCCAUGAAUCCACGUUUUAUGAAGAGUCUGCGUUGAAUCAUGAGGUGUGAUUUCAGUGUCAGCGAAGUCUGUUGGACUUCCUCCCGUGGCAGCAUCCUCUUAAUGGACAGUACAGUAAAACUAAGCUGACUUAGAAGAAGACCAAUGGAUGAAAAAAAAGGCAGCUGCUGGCCUGGAGCCCCUCUCAUAAAGAGCAGGAAGGACCCGAAGCCACAGGCAGGAUUAAAGGGCUGAUCUAACCCUUAGAUCUCAGCUUUAAAGUUGUAAUGUACAGUGAAUUUGGUUACAUGGAAAAGGAAACAGUAAUUGUUGAAGUAUGUUUUCUUAAGCUACAGAAUAAUUUUUGAAAUGCUUGCCUUUAAUCCGUAGACAGGCUCGUGUUUGAGAAAAUAUUAUCUUGCUGCUCAGGGUGAAUCUGAGCGUCUGAAACACUGGAUCUUGGAGCCACAUUUUGUCAUUUUUUCAAAAAAUGAAAAGAUGACUGGCCUCCUAGGAUAGGGUUUGAAAGGUUGCUUUUUCUGGCUACUGUAAUUCCGCUGCUUCGGUUAUGGGCUGUCGGAAUGGUUCAAUUCCUCGUGCUUCUUACUAAAUAUUUGAGACAGUGCCCUGGCUGUUUUUUUAAAGGCACCUGUGAGCUCACUGUGAUGACUAGCACUCUGUCUAAUUGUGGUUGGGCAAGAAGGUGAGGAUGGAGAGAGCACGACCUACUCAUCAGUAAUUAAGUCCUAUCUCCCCCCUCCACCCCAGUUCAUGCCCCACCCCCCGUUCACCGGUCACCUGGGAAGAACAGGGGUUCCAGGACCCUGGGGGCUCCGCACCUGAAUUCUGUCUUUGCUGCUUCCCAGAUCUGAGCCCUCAUGCAGUUUAUUCAACCUUCCAAGCCUCAGUUGUUGUUGGGAGUAUUGGAUGCUUACAAUGAUCCUUUAUUGGUGAAGUGCUUGACACCCGACACAACGUGCACCUGGUCUAGCACAGCCUGCUGGUCCUGUUGUGACCUGCAGGGCUCUGAGCUUCCGGACAGAGGGAGUGCAAGGGCUCUUUAGAGCAGUCUGCACACUAUCGGGAGGGGAGGACCAUGCGGUGUUAUUACUGUCUGCUUCCAACAUACGACAGACUGCCACUUUUGUAAAAGACAAUAAAAAUAAAUUCCCAGAAAAGUGAAAUGAGAAAAAACACAGAUAUACAAAAUACGAACUCAUUUUUAAAAAGUGACAAACAACACUGUUAAAUGCAAUGGUGCUUACUCCCAGUUUCUGUUCUCAUCUCUUGCCAACAAACAUCUGGGUGGUGCUUUGUUAUGGCAGACCCAGGAACUAACACAAGGGGGUUAUUAUUAUUCUCUAUUGCAAAUCAGGAAACAGGCGCAGAGAGGUUAAGUAAUUUGCUUUUGGUCACACAGCAAGUGGAAGGGUCAGGAUUGGUGCUCAGGCAGUUGGAAUUCACUGUUGAAGACCAAGGACACUUGUGUAGGAGAGUGACAAAGAGCAUGGAGUCUGGGGCCAGGUUUUGAAUCAUGACACCUACCGCAAAUUUUCCAUGGGCAGAGACUGGAGACUGAGACACUGCUUAGGAUUCUGCUAUGACAAG
rnacentral:lncRNA from 1 species